GCCUAGUUAGCUUGGUUGGUAAAGCGUCUGCCUUGUUAGCACUCGGUCGUGGGUUCGAUUCCCGGCCGGGGCG
rnacentral:tRNA from 1 species